rnacentral:miRNA from 14 species
ACACCUUCUGCUGGAGACCUAUAUAAGGACAUUGGAAGAAGAAAGAUUCUCUCUCUCUCUUCUUUGCCUGCCUGCCUUGUGGGACUGAGCAACUGCUAGAUCCUGGACUUCUAUUCACAGCUG